CUCUUCAAUUAGUUUGUUAGGUAGUUAGUGAUUUAUAUUCUUCUUUAUUGUGUAAUUCUAUGAUACCGUAUCUGUUGGACGGGUCGUUAUCUACGGGGGCUGUAAGGACUAUGUAGUGUGGUGCGGGCGCAGGUACGUACUUCCUUAGGAAGCCUAUGGCUCCCGCAGAAUCUGAUAUCCUAUAUUUGGACUCUUGAAACUUCAUCAGUAGUAUUCUCAAGAAUAAGAAAUUGUAACAGUAGGGCCCCGUCGAUGGGCGCUGCUUCCAAGUAUAUGGUGGUCUUUUUGGCCUAGGUGGUUAGCGCUGUAUUGCCCGGUCGGUCCCUAAUCGUUACGUAUAUAGUGAAUGAAAUGUACUUAUAAGUGGCG
rnacentral:sRNA from 1 species